AGCCAUUUGAAGCACUAAAUCCAGAAUGAUGGAAGCAACUCUUAGUGUUCAUGUUAUGUACUUUAUCUCAGGUACUCUGGUGGUGCCCACUGAAGCAGAUCUGGCCGGUGUGACGGAAGCGCCCGUGGAAGCUAACAAUGCUACUGAGCCAGCAAAGGUGGAGGACGUGACGAAAGUUCCAGAGAAACCUGUGACUGAAGCAACAGCAGCACCAUUUACUGAAGCUCCUGUAGUGGAAACAGAGGAACCUGCACCUGAGACAGAAGCUACAGCAGCGCCCACAGCAGCAGAGCAGGAGGAGUCGUUCACCACACAAGCUGCUGAAGUUGAACCUGCUGCUACUGAGCCUACUGAGGUGACCAGCGUGGACGAGGCAAAGACAAAAGGGCCAGCGGUACCUGGAGAGGUAGAAGCAGAUCAGGCUGAAGAAACAGAGGUGGAGCUGGAGGAAUCAGGUCACGUGGUGGGCAUUGUGAUUGGUGCGUUGGUUGCCGUGGUCAUCAUCAUUGCAGUGAUCGUAGUGAUCGUCAGGAGGAUGGGCCAAUACUCUCCCUGAGAAGGAAGGCAGCGCGACAGGAAGAGAAGAAGAAAAAGUUCUGGAAAGUCUGAACUACUGAACUGAUGUCACUUCCUGUAAUUAAACAAA
rnacentral:lncRNA from 1 species